GACGAACGCUGGCGGCGUGCUUAACACAUGCAAGUCGAACGGAAAGGCCCUGCUUUUGUGGGGUGCUCGAGUGGCGAACGGGUGAGUAACACGUGAGUAACCUGCCCUUGACUUUGGGAUAACUUCAGGAAACUGGGGCUAAUACCGGAUAGGAGCUCCUGCUGCAUGGUGGGGGUUGGAAAGUUUCGGCGGUUGGGGAUGGACUCGCGGCUUAUCAGCUUGUUGGUGGGGUAGUGGCUUACCAAGGCUUUGACGGGUAGCCGGUCUGAGAGGGUGACCGGCCACAUUGGGACUGAGAUACGGUCCAGACUCCUACGGGAGGCAGCAGUGGGGAAUAUUGCACAAUGGGCGGAAGCCUGAUGCAGCAACGCCGCGUGCGGGAUGACGGCCUUCGGGUUGUAAACCGCUUUCGCCUGUGACGAAGCGUGAGUGACGGUAAUGGGUAAAGAAGCACCGGCUAACUACGUG
rnacentral:rRNA from 1 species